CCUACGGGUGGCAGCAGUGGGGAAUAUUGCACAAUGGGGGAAACCCUGAUGCAGCGACGCCGCGUGAGCGAGGAAGUAUUUCGGUAUGUAAAGCUCUAUCAGCAGGGACGAAAAACGACGGUACCUGACUAAGACGCCCCGGCUAACUACGUGCCGGCAGCCGCGGUACUACGUAGGGGGCAAGCGUUAUCCGGAUUUACUGGGGGUAAAGGGAGCGUAGACGGCAAGGCAAGCCAGAAGUGAAAGGGCAGGGCUCAACCCUGUACAUGCCGUUGGAACUGUGGGGCUAGAGUGCAGGAGAGGUAAGUGGAAUGCGUAGUGUAGCGGUGAAAUGCGUAGAUAUUAGGAGGAACUCCAGUGGCGAAGGCGGCUUACUGGACUGUAACUGACGUUGAGGCUCGAAAGCGUGGGGAGCAAACAGGAUUAGAUACCCGGGUAGUC
rnacentral:rRNA from 1 species